AGCCUGUUUCUGCCUAUCACCAUGAGUGAUUCCUCAAUACUCAGAUUUAUCAUCAAGAUCUCAAUUAUAAGCUCAAGUUUUGAUGACAACUUGGUGAUCUGCAGAAAGCACCACCAUGUAAGGAAGGCCAAGACCACUCUGGAAUCAGUCAAGGGAUUGCAGUGACCAGACAUGCUACUGUAACUCUCAUGGUCAUGUGCUGGAAUUAGCAGAUGUUCAACAAUUUGGCCAUCUCGCUGACCUGUUGAUAUCAGAAGACCCCAACAGCUCUGCAAAGCAAGUUGCAAAACAGAAUCCAUGAAACUGGCAGUGACUGGAAACCAAUUGGAAGACUUUGGUCUGUGAUGUAGAGGAGUGGGCAGAGGCAGAAGCAAAGACAACAAAAAGAAGAAGUGAUGUGGAUGUCUUCGUCAUAUUGCAUGACUCUGCUGACCCAGCAACAAAGAGGAGGGUGUUCAACAUCAUCCUGCUAGUCAGGAUUCUUCAGGAGAAGCAGUGGAUUCUUGUGGCAGAGAUGGUCAACCACUAUAAAUACCUUUCAACUCAUCCUGGUUCUUUCAAAGAACUUUCUUGCUUGUUUGCUACUGAAAUGUACUGAUUCGACAUGUGGCCUUAACGAAGAGGGGUUAAAAGGUCUAUGGAUCAUCAUUCUCAAAAAGCAACAAAAUAACUGAGAAAUAAACAACAAUACGAUGGUGCAAUCUAGAGACCUGCAAGGUACCUGCAAGUUUUGGCUGGAGCAGAGAACAUAGAUUUUUUUUAAAUAAAGCUCCAGCUGAUGAGUUUGACAUUGACUGUGGAUUUUCUUUUACUGUAAUCCAGAAGAGGAUGACCUUAACCCUGAAUCUAAAGCAUGUAAUAAAAUCUGUAAAAAAUUAAAUAAAAUUGUCAUCAUCU
rnacentral:lncRNA from 1 species